rnacentral:rRNA from 1 species
CAAAGGAAUUGACGGGGGCCCGCACAAGCGGUGGAGUAUGUGGUUUAAUUCGAUGCAACGCGAAGAACCUUACCUGGUCUUGACAUCCCGGAGACCCUUAGGAAACUAGGGGGUGCUUCCAUCUGGAAGAAUCUGGAGACAGGUGCUGCAUGGCUGUCGUCAGCUCGUGUCGUGAGAUGUUGGGGUUAAGUCCCGCAACGAGCGCAACCCUUGCCUUUAGUUGCCAGCAGUUCGGCUGGGCACUCUAAAGGGACUGCCGGUGUUAAACCGGAGGAAGGUGGGGAUGACGUCAAGUCCUCAUGGCCUUUAUGACCAGGGCUACACACGUACUACAAUGGCCGAUACAAAGGGCAGCGACACUGCGAGGUGAAGCCAAUCCCGUAAAAUCGGUCUCAGUCCGGAUUGGAGUCUGCAACUCGACUCCAUGAAGUUGGAAUCGCUAGUAAUCGUGGAUCAGCAUGCCACGGUGAAUACGUUCCCGGGCCUU